UCGAACGAGUUCUCGUUGAUGAUCGGUGCUUGCACCGAGAUUCAACAUGGAACGAGUGGCGGACGGGUGAGUAACACGUGGGUAACCUGCCCUUAAGUGGGGGAUAACAUUUGGAAACAGAUGCUAAUACCGCAUAGAUCCAAGAACCGCAUGGUUCUUGGCUGAAAGAUGGCGUAAGCUAUCGCUUUUGGAUGGACCCGCGGCGUAUUAGCUAGUUGGUGAGGUAAUGGCUCACCAAGGCGAUGAUACGUAGCCGAACUGAGAGGUUGAUCGGCCACAUUGGGACUGAGACACGGCCCAAACUCCUACGGGAGGCAGCAGUAGGGAAUCUUCCACAAUGGACGCAAGUCUGAUGGAGCAACGCCGCGUGAGUGAAGAAGGCUUUCGGGUCGUAAAACUCUGUUGUUGGAGAAGAAUGGUCGGCAGAGUAACUGUUGUCGGCGUGACGGUAUCCAACCAGAAAGCCACGGCUGACUACGUGCCAGCAGCCGCGGUAAUACGUAGGUGGCAAGCGUUAUCCGGAUUUAUUGGGCGUAAAGCGAGCGCAGGCGGUUUUUUAAGUCUGAUGUGAAAGCCCUCGGCUUAACCGAGGAAGCGCAUCGGAAACUGGGAAACUUGAGUGCAGAAGAGGACAGUGGAACUCCAUGUGUAGCGGUGAAAUGCGUAGAUAUAUGGAAGAACACCAGUGGCGAAGGCGGCUGUCUGGUCUGUAACUGACGCUGAGGCUCGAAAGCAUGGGUAGCGAACAGGAUUAGAUACCCUGGUAGUCCAUGCCGUAAACGAUGAAUGCUAGGUGUUGGAGGGUUUCCGCCCUU
rnacentral:rRNA from 1 species